UACGUAGGGCGCAAGCGUUAUCCGGAAUUAUUGGGCGUAAAGAGCUCGUAGGCGGUUUGUCGCGUCUGCCGUGAAAGUCCGGGGCUCAACUCCGGAUCUGCGGUGGGUACGGGCAGACUAGAGUGAUGUAGGGGAGACUGGAAUUCCUGGUGUAGCGGUGAAAUGCGCAGAUAUCAGGAGGAACACCGAUGGCGAAGGCGGGUCUCUGGGCCGAUACUGACGCUGAGGAGCGAAAGCGUGGGGAGCGAACAGG
rnacentral:rRNA from 1 species